GAAAUAUGUAUAGUUUACUGUACAGGAAUUGUACCACAAUGGUGUUAAGAAAAAUAAAUACAAAAAUGUAGAGUACUAAGUGGAAGAAAGAAAAAUAAGUAUAGAGCGUAUGAUGAGGCUCAGCUGUGCAUCAGUUAACCAGGACAGCGCCUCAGAAUAUUCCAUAUGCCUGAUUACAGUAAUGGAUCCAGGGAGGGGCCAGUGAGGUCUCUUAUUUGAUAGAGCUCAUGGUCUCGUGUGUGCUGAAGGCCACAAAAGCCUGAAAUAAGCAACAGCUCCCGUGGCUGCACUGUACAGAAGACCUCACUGAAAACAAGGCCCUUGUGUCCUGCACAAGAAGAGGCAGGCAGAGAGUGACAGCAAGAGAGUGUGACGUGUAAACACGUUCCCAAGAGCUCCCUGAUUCCUCACAGCAUUGCCCAGAUGUCCGUGAACUCUGUCCUUUGGAAUUGCUGACCAGGUGACUUUAACCAACGUGCUGUUUAUAACAUCCACCCCAUGGAUCACGGGAGCUGUAUCAGGAUCUGUUGAGCAUCUAGUACAUCCUCUUUGCAUGCAGUAGUUGCUCAAAAAUGUUCAUCGACAGAUGCGUAAUAGACUGGAGAGAAACUACUCUUGACGCGCUGUCAGGCGCACCACUUACAGUCUUCUCCGGAAUAGA